rnacentral:piRNA from 1 species
UGUGCUGUCAGUGUAAGAACAGUGAC